rnacentral:rRNA from 1 species
GGGACCCCACUGCAACCGGACCGCGAUUUGGCCAUUUGAGGAGCACGUCUCCUGGCCAUACGGGAGACGCACCGUACGGGUCAGUGACACCUAGUCAACCUACCCUGGACACGCGGAUACACCCGGGAAACUGGGGCUAAUACGCGAGAGGUGGUGUCCUCUGCAACGAGACAUCGCCCACAUGGUGGUGCCGGUAUGCUUCGCACCACGCGCUCCAAGAUGGGACUGCCACCGAUCAGGCUGUUGUCGGGCUAAUGGCCCACCAAACCUGUAACCGGUACGUGCUUUGAGAGAAGGAGCCCGGAGAUGUACACUGAGACAAGGGCCCAGGCCCUACGGGGCGCAUCAGGCACGAAAACUUCUCAAUGCCGCGAAAGCGUGAUAAUGCUAAUCCCAGUGCCGUCCGCUGAGGAUGGUUUUUCUCGGCUGUAAAUAGGCCGGGGAGUAAGGGGAGGGCAAGUCUGGUGUCAGCCGCCGCGGUAAUACCAGCACCUCGCGUGGUAAAGGACGUUUAUUGGGCGUAAAGCAUCCGUAAAAAAAUAUACAAGUCUUCCGUUAAAUCCACCUGCUUAACAGAUGGGCUGCGGAAGAUACUAUAGAGCUAGGAGGCGGGAGAGGCAUGCGGUACUCGAUGGGUAGGGGUAAAAUCGUGUUGAUCCAUUGAAGACCACCAGUGGCGAAGGCGGCUUGCCAGAACGCGCUUGACGGUGAGGGAUCAAACCCCCGGGAGCAAACCGGAUUAGAU